UACGGAGGGGGCAAGCGUUAUUCGGAAUUAUUGGGCGUAAAGGGCGCGUAGGCGGCUAGAUGUGUCAAAGGUGAAAUCCCUCGGCUCAACUGAGGAACUGCCUUUGAAACUGUCUGGCUUGAGGCCGGGAGAGGGUAGCGGAAUUCCCAGUGUAGCGGUGAAAUGCGUAGAUAUUGGGAGGAACACCAGUGGCGAAGGCGGCUACCUGGACUGGUUCUGACGCUGAGGCGCGAAAGCGUGGGUAGCAAACAGG
rnacentral:rRNA from 1 species